ACUAUGAUGAUAAUGUUGGUCCGUGUUUAUGAUUUUUUUUGAUUAUUACUAUCAUUGCCACUUUCUGACUAUA